rnacentral:tRNA from 1 species
GGCUUAGUGGUCUAGUCGUAUGAUUCUCGCUUUGGGUUCCUCUGAAUGCGAGAGGUCCCGGGUUCAAUUCCCGGCUGAGCCC